AAUGAUUUAUUAACUUGCUUGACUAGGUCUUAUAAAAUUCUGGAUAAAGCUUAUAAUGAAAACUUUAUAUCUAUAGGUCUCGACUAAAUCUUGUGCCAGCAGUCGCGGUAAGACAAGGGAGACGAGUGUUAUUCAUCUUUAACAGGUAUAUAGGGUACCUAGACGGUGUACAAAGGCUUGUAUUAGUACCUGCUACACUUGAGUUUAAUAUGUGAGAGGAAAAUUUCAGAAUUGUUGGUGUAUGGGAUGAAAUCUUUUGAUACUGAUAAGACUGAUAACGGCGAAGGCAAACCUCUAUGUAUAAGUGCUUACUUUUUUUUAUAUAAAUGAUAGGAAUAAAACGGAUAAAGGUAAAAGGAAUAUCAUAUAUAAAGCAAUUAUAGAAAGUAAGAUACGAUAACUGACGUUGAGGGACGAAGGCUCAGGGAGUGAAGAGGAUUAGAUACCCCCGUAGUCUGGGCAGACAAUGAUGAGUGCCAUAGGUUAGCUUUAGGCUGAACUAUAAAUGAAAGUGGAAGCACUCCACCUCAAGAGUAAUGUGGCAACGCAGGAACUGAAAUCAUUAGACCGUUUCUGAAACCAGUAGUGAAGUAUGUUAUUUAAUUCGAUGAUCCUCGAAUAACCUUACCACAAUUUGAAUGCUCUACAAUACUCUAUACUUAAGAUAUGGUUAAAUAUUUUUAACAAAUGAUCAUAUGUUGUAAUUAGAUUAUGUAGACCACAUGCGUUGCAUGGCUGUCUUCAGUUAAUGUCGUGAGAUUUGGUUAGGUCCAUUAAAUUAACGUAAACCCUUGUUUUAUUUAAUACAAUAAGGCAGCGCACCGCUUACAAUUGGAUGUGAU
rnacentral:rRNA from 1 species